UAUACUGUAAUGUUUAGGUAAAAAUGACAAGCAAAACUGCAUGUUCAGUAUAUGUGUAGUUUUUCUUGCCAGAUAUUUUUGAUCUUUGGUUGGCCCAAUCCAUGGAUGUGCAACCCUUGGCAACAGAGGGCCCGCUGUAUACUUAGCUUGACAGCCCUUCAGAUAGACUGAAGUGUGGAGACCCUAAGUGCACUGGGUGUGGCUUGUCUUCCUGCAGUUGGACAAAGAACCACAUAGAUGAAGCUCAAUGUGGAGAAAGUUUCAGGGGAUAUAACAGAGCCCUGGGUACACGCCAAAGCUCCCACUUGAUCCUAACUUUCUACAUUAAACGUGCCAGUCUGAGGAAACCAAGGGUUAUGUUUGGUAAUGUCUUGUAAAAUACGAGAAAGCCAUUGGGUACUGACUUUAGUGCCAAAUUGGUGCUCCAAUAAAGGGACAUAACAUUGUACUUCAGUUGAAUUUUUCUCAUAACCCUGGUUGAGAAAAAGUUUUCCAUGAGCACUUAUUUUUGUUUUCAUGCUGGCCGGCUCACUGGUCUCUGCUUCAAAACUCUCCGUCAUUUAUUCCCUUUACCUUCUGCUCAGGUUGAUCUUUCCCGGUCAGGUCCCUCCCUGUUGGGGCACCACUUGUAGGAACCGGCCUAAGAGCUUAUUCCCGACCAAAUGAGGUGAAUAAGGAUGAAAGACAAAAGUCACAAAGAUAAUUUGGAAUGAGGGGGCUAGGGGGCUCUUUGCCUCUAGUGGACAAAGAGCCCUGAGCGUUUGGCUCACCUUCCUUUUAUUCACUUAGACAUAGGAACAAACAAUUAGAUCAAUAGAAGAUUCAUCUGCUUCUUGUUAUCUAGAUCAUGUACCCAGGUAAACAUCCAUAUCUCAGCUGUAUGGACUCUUCUUAGGAAUUUGUAAUGUGCUUGCAUCCCUGCAUCUUGCCAAAGGUGGCACAGCUUGCUGUUUUUCUCCUUUGUGCUUGCAGAGAAGGUCAGCUAGGCCUCGAUCCUCAUUAUCUGGUCUUCUACACAUGGCAGUAUUUAAAGCUACAUCAUUCUUUUUCAAUAUAACAUGUCAUAGCAUGGACAUACCAUAAUUUAUGAAAGUAAAUUUUCACAUUUAGGUUAUUUUCAGUGUUUUGGAUUACAGGUAGUUUCAUAGUACCCUUAACAGUAGUCACCCCUUAUCCAUGAUUUUGCUUUCCACAGCUUUAGUUACUCAUGGUCAGCUGUGGUCUAAAAAUAUUAAAAUAGAAAAAUUGUAGAAAUAAACAAUUGAAAACUUUUUUGAGCUGUUCUGAGCAGUGUGAUGAAGUCUUACAGCUUCCUGCACCAUUCCACCUAGGAUGUGAAUCAUCCUUUUGUACCUUGUAUCUAUACUGUGUAUGCUACCCACUCCUUAAUCACUUAGUACCCAUGUGUGUUAUUAGAUCAGCUUUCCUGGUAGUGCAAGUGUUCAGUUUUAACCCUUAUUUAAUAAUGACCGAAAAGUGCAGUGCUAGUGAUGCUGGCAAUUUCGGUAUUCCAAAGGGAAACCACGUUGUACUUGCUUUAAAAGGAUGAAAGUUCUCUACUUAAUCAGGAAACGAAAAAACGUCCUUAUGCUGAGUUUGCUAAGAUCUAUCUUGAGAACAAAUAAUGGGACCCUUGACUUACAACUUGAUCAGUUUCCGAAGGCUGGUUGUAACUAAGUUAAUAACAGCUGAGAUCUGAAUGUUUGGGUACACGCUAUAGAUGACAAGAGGAGGGAGAAUCGUCCAUUAACCUAAUUAACCCAAGUUGUUACAUAUGUCAGGCCGGUCAUAACUUGAGGGUCCACUGUAUUCAUAAAAGUGUGGAAAAAGAAGUUUGUGCUGUUUUUGCCAUCAUACCUCAGAUUGGGAAAGUUUUGGCUGUAGUGCAUGAUAAGUGAUUACUUAAGGUAAAAAAAAUGCAUUAAAUUUAUAUGUGCAGUUUAGGCAAAAAAUCCACUGCAGUUUAUUCUUGGAAUAUGUUCUGUGUGUAAAAAGGACUACUAUAGAACAAUGUUUUUGCACAGAUGUGGCAAUGUUUGGUUUCGAUUGUAUCCUAUGAACCAGAGUUUUUGAUUUAAAGUGUAUAUCCAUGUAAAAUGGACAUUGCCCAAUUGACCUCCAGAAGCCUCUACUAAUAAAGCAUUAGUUGUAUUUGAA